rnacentral:rRNA from 1 species
UGGGGAAUAUUGCACAAUGGGGGAAACCCUGAUGCAGCGACGCCGCGUGAGCGAAGAAGGCUUUCGAGUCGUAAAGCUCUGUCCUAUGAGAAGAUAAUGACGGUAUCAUAGGAGGAAGCCCUGGCUAAAUACGUGCCAGCAGCCGCGGUAAUACGUAUGGGGCGAGCGUUGUCCGGAAUUAUUGGGCGUAAAGCGCGCGCAGGUGGUUUAGAAAGUCUGAUGUGAAAGCCCACGGCUCAACCGUGGAGGGUCAUUGGAAACUAAUAAACUUGAGUGCAGGAGAGAAAAGUGGAAUUCCUAGUGUAGCGGUGAAAUGCGUAGAGAUUAGGAGGAACACCGGUGGCGAAAGCGGCUUUUUGGCCUGCAACUGACACUGAGGCGCGAAAGCGUGGGGAGCAAACAGG